rnacentral:rRNA from 1 species
AUACAGAGGGUGCAAGCGUUAAUCGGAAUUACUGGGCGUAAAGCGCACGUAGGUGGUUCAUUAAGUCAGAUGUGAAAGCCCCGGGCUCAACCUGGGAACUGCAUUUGAAACUGGUGAGCUAGAGUAUGGUAGAGGUAAGUGGAAUUCCAGGUGUAGCGGUGAAAUGCGUAGAUAUCUGGAGGAACAUCAGUGGCGAAGGCGACUUACUGGACCAAUACUGACACUGAGGUGCGAAAGCGUGGGGAGCAAACAGGAUUAGAAACCCCUGUAGUCC